CAACAACGGAACCCAGGGGACAGGACUGCAUCAACUACAACCAGGCGGCGUAGACGGCAGCACACGGCCCUCGGCAAAUCAGAGGUGCUCAGUGACCACAGCCACCAUGACAGCAGGGCGGGGCGGGGGGCAAGGAAGCAGCGCUGGGAGACUUGGAGACACCCCAAAAAACGCCUUCCUCAGAAACACUGCUGUGCAAGAACUUGCAAAUCCCUAAGGCAUCUGUGUCCGACGGCCCCGGCCCCAUGCUCUGAGGUCGCGCAGGUGUCCAAGGCCAGGAGGGGCACCGAGGAGACGAAGAAGAAACAGCACAGCAGCUGGGGAGGUAGGAACAGCGGAGUCUGAGUCACCAAAGCCCGGGGCUGCCACUCUCCAGGGCGCCCCACUCCCAGCUCCAGCGGCUGAGUCCACCAAGCCAGGACAGGCCCAAGGACCAGAGAGCGAGGUGAUUCACAGUGGAGCUCGGAAAGACCCAUCCAUGCCCAGCGCCUUGUCAAAAACCACAGGGGUCUUGGUGACAAGCAAUUGAGGGAGGCCAACAUGGCAGAGCCAGGGCUGCAAAAUCGGCUGGAAUAAGCAUCAGACCUGCUAGAAGGGUUUUCUGUGCCUGUUUUCGCUGAGCACAGAACAACUGAAGGAGGCGUGGGACAGACACAAGGGCGGGCCUCGGUGCCACGGCUGGCCUUGGGCAGAGGGAAAUGCUUUGUGUACUUUCUCUGGGAAGCAGCAGCCCCAGCGCGGCCUCGGCGUCCUCUGCCGCCACCUGCUCCAUGACCGCUGGGCGUGUGUGCGGGGAGAUGGGAGCAACUUCACAGUGGUGGGAAGUUUCUCUCCUAAAACGAAAGCUUCUCUAUACUACAGAUUGGCCC
rnacentral:antisense_RNA from 1 species